GACGAACGCUGGCGGCGUGCCUAAUACAUGCAAGUAGAACGCUGAAGGAGGAGCUUGCUCUUCUGGAUGAUUUGCGAACGGGUGAGUAACGCGUAGGUAACCUGCCUUGUAGCGGGGGAUAACUAUUGGAAACGAUAGCUAAUACCGCAUAACAGUAGAUGUUGCAUGACAUUUACUUAAAAGUUGCAAUUGCAUCACUACCAGAUGGACCUGCGUUGUAUUAGCUAGUUGGUGGGGUAACGGCUCACCAAGGCGACGAUACAUAGCCGACCUGAGAGGGUGAUCGGCCAAACUGGGAAUGAGAAAAGGCACAGAAUCCUACGGGAGGCAGCAGUAGGGAAUCUUCGGCAAUGGACGGAAGUCUGACCGAGCAAAGCCGCGUGAGGGAAGAAGGUUUUCGGAUCGGAAAGCUCUGUUGUAAGAGAAGAAAGAGUGUGAGAGUGGAAAGUUCACAAUGUGACGGUAUCUUACCAGAAAGGGACGGCUAACUACGUG
rnacentral:rRNA from 1 species